rnacentral:rRNA from 1 species
UUGUGCGAGACCGAUAGCGAACAAGUACCGUGAGGGAAAGAUGAAAAGAACUUUGAAAAGAGAGUUAAAGAGUACCUGAAACUGCUGAAAGGGAAGCGAAUCGUAUCCAGUGUCUAUAAUCUGCGGCAUAUUUCAUUGGCGGCGGUGUGCGUGCCUUGGCUUUGGAAGCGGCUUUUGUUGCUCGGUGCUUUGGUGUUGCGCGUUGGUGCUGAUGCCCUGUGUUGCGGUGGGACGUCAGAGUCAGUUCGUAUGCUGCGGGAAAUGGCUACCGAGGAGGUAGGUCAGGAGCUUGCUCUUGGCUGUUAUAUCUUGGUGGUUUGUUGUCGUGGUUGGGACUGAGGUGCCUACAAUGUGCUUUUGAGUGUGCCGGGUUCUCAUUUGGUGGACUGUUUGGAUAGCUUGCUAUGCUUGUGGUUUUUUCAUCGGGUGAUUGAGUCUGGUGGUAACUUGUUGCUGUUCGGGACUUUGAA